UUGGAGCCGUAAAAAUAUGUUUUUUAAAUUUGAGACUUUAACUGAGUGUCCAACACCUUAAUAUGCUAAAAACAGAAGCACUAGGAACAGAGAUUACAGUAUAAGUAUUCAUUUUGAUUCUUCUACUGGUGCAAACACAUUCGCACAGUCAACGAAGAAGCUCUUAUUCUAGCAACUACACCACACGAAGAUUACUAUUCUUUAAUCUCUUAGACAAGAAUAUAAAGGGGAAACUAAAACACAAGCAGAACACAGAAACGUGUAAGUAUAACUUACUGAAACAAACAUUAUUCUUUUUGCACCUUCCUCUUAUUAUUGACGCUUCUAGUUGGGGUAUUAAGAUUAGCUAAACCACUGAGUUUGCUGGACUUAUAUCAGCGUUAGAGUUUUUGGUUUCCUUUUCUGUAUCAGUUGUUUUAUCGUUUGCAUAUUCUUGAGCAAUAUUGCCAGUGAGUUCUUUAUCUUCUCCAGAGAUUUCUUCAAGUGACCGGCCUCGUGUUUCUGGCACUAAGAAAGUGCAGAGGAAUCCUAGCAUAUUGACAACUGAAAGUGCCAUAAGUGCGGUCUUGAUACCUUCUGAUUCGUCUUGCGGAUUACUUGUAUAGCUUUGCACAACAAAAGCACCAAUGAUAGCUCCUGCUUUACCAGCUGCUGCUGAUAUUCCAUGGCAUGUUGAACGGAACCUGGCAGGGAACAGCUCUGCUGGCACUAUAAAUGUUGUGCUAUUGGGUCCAAAGUUUGCAAAGAAAAGGGUGACUUCAAAAAGAAUGACAAAGAGGGUGUGUUUGCCACCACAAUAAUCAUAUGUUUCAUCUGGGUUGCAUUCAUCUCCCCUAUAUUCUGGAUAAUUGAGUCCCAAAACCAACAUGCAAACAGACAUAGCAAAAAAUCCGCCAAGUUGGAUUUUGUACCUUCCAAUCUUGUCAAUGAAGUACACUGUGCACCAGUAUCCAGGGACAGUGGCAAACAGUGCCACUGCAAACAUUGCUUUGGAGAGUAGAAAUACCUCCUCUAUGGCAUUCAUUUGGGAAGCACCGGGUAAAAAUCCACUUGCAUGGUAAAUAUCUUUUUGUGCUAGCUGAAGACUGUAGAAGGCAAUAUCCAAGAAGAACCAGGUGCUGGUUGUUCCUAAAAGGUGAAGGCCGUGCUUCUCAAGAAACUUUGAAGAGAAGAAUCCAUAAGAGAGGCUAGGUGUGGCAGCAACCCUGGUAUUUGAUUCUUCUAAAGUUUCUGGCAGUUUCAUUCUCCAGUAAUAAGUGAAGGCAGCAGGAAAUGCACCAAACAUUAGCACUAUUCUCCAAACAAAGUCUCCUUGUGGCUGAGUAGAUUGCACUGGAUCAACUGCAAAAACGCUGGCUGGAUAAGCUAAUAGGAACAGUUUGGAGACCAACAUGGAUACACCUCCAGCAAACAAUAUUCCCACUCCUUGCAUAGCAAAAACAGCAGCAACAAAAGCUCCCCUAGUCUUCUGAUUGGCAUAUUCAGACAUUAUAACAGCUGAGAGAGGAUAGUCUCCUCCUAUGCCAAAUCCUAGCCAAAACCUGAAGAAGCAAAGACUAGCAACCACACUUUUGGCUGUGGAGCCAAAAGAAAGCCCUGAUGCCAAGGCACACCCCACCAUGGUGGAAAGGGUUAUGCCAUAAACCUUUUUUCGGCCGAGUUUGUCACCCAGCCAGCCAAAGAAGAGCUGCCCUGAAAGGAUGCCACACAAUGCAACUCCUGCUAUUGCAUUGCUUACAUUCUUUGGAAGCUUACCUGGACUGUGACUCAUGGGGUCAUAGUAGUACAGGCGACCUAUGAGCUUGAUAAGUGCAGUGAUGCAAAAGAGAUCAUAUGCAUCAGUGAAGAACCCCAUCCCCGCUAUCCCAAUUACCUUAUAGUGAUAUCUUUUUGUCUUGGCUUUGUCAAGUGUCGAGAGGACACCACGGUUGGUGGCCAUGGCUCUUAACAAAGGUUAGUGUCUGAUGGUAAAACGUGAGCAGGAGAAGAGAGUAGAAACAUUACAGUUUUAUAUACCAUAUUAAUGAAGGAACUUAACUUGUCUUCUUGGAUUUUGACAAUUCAG
rnacentral:sRNA from 1 species